rnacentral:rRNA from 1 species
AUACCAUGCAGUCGAACGAUGAUCCCAGCUUGCUGGGGGAUUAGUGGCGAACGGGUGAGUAACACGUGAGUAACCUGCCCUUGACUCUGGGAUAAGCCUGGGAAACUGGGUCUAAUACCGGAUAUGACCAUCUGGCGCAUGUCAUGGUGGUGGAAAGCUUUUGUGGUUUUGGAUGGACUCGCGGCCUAUCAGCUUGUUGGUGGGGUAAUGGCCUACCAAGGCGACGACGGGUAGCCGGCCUGAGAGGGUGACCGGCCACACUGGGACUGAGACACGGCCCAGACUCCUACGGGAGGCAGCAGUGGGGAAUAUUGCACAAUGGGCGCAAGCCUGAUGCAGCGACGCCGCGUGAGGGAUGACGGCCUUCGGGUUGUAAACCUCUUUCAGUAGGGAAGAAGCGAAAGUGACGGUACCUGCAGAAGAAGCGCCGGCUAACUACGUGCCAGCAGCCGCGGUAAUACGUAGGGCGCAAGCGUUAUCCGGAAUUAUUGGGCGUAAAGAGCUCGUAGGCGGUUUGUCGCGUCUGCUGUGAAAGACCGGGGCUCAACUCCGGUUCUGCAGUGGGUACGGGCAGACUAGAGUGCAGUAGGGGAGACUGGAAUUCCUGGUGUAGCGGUGAAAUGCGCAGAUAUCAGGAGGAACACCGAUGGCGAAGGCAGGUCUCUGGGCUGUAACUGACGCUGAGGAGCGAAAGCAUGGGGAGCGAACAGGAUUAGAUACCCUGGUAGUCCAUGCCGUAAACGUUGGGCACUAGGUGUGGGGGACAUUCCACGUUUUCCGCGCCGUAGCUAACGCAUUAAGUGCCCCGCCUGGGGAGUACGGCCGCAAGGCUAAAACUCAAAGGAAUUGACGGGGGCCCGCACAAGCGGCGGAGCAUGCGGAUUAAUUCGAUGCAACGCGAAGAACCUUACCAAGGCUUGACAUGAACCGGAAAGACCUGGAAACAGGUGCCCCGCUUGCGGUCGGGUUUACAGGUGGU